CCUACGGGCGGCUGCAGUGGGGAAUAUUGCACAAUGGGGGAAACCCUGAUGCAGCGAUGCCGCGUGGGGGAUGAAGGUUUUCGGAUUGUAAACCCCUGUUAUCAGGGACGAUAAUGACGGUACCUGAAGAAAAAGCUCCGGCUAACUACGUGCCAGCAGCCGCGGUAAUAAGUAGGGGGCGACCGUUGUCCGGACUGACUGGGUGUAAAGGGAGCGUAGGCGGGACGGGAAGUCAGAUGUGAAAGCUGCGGGCGCAACUUUCAGACUGCAUUUGAAACUGCUGUUCUUGAGUGAAGUAGAGGUAAGCGGAAUUCCUAGUGUAGCGGUGAAAUGCGUAGAUAUUAGGAGGAACAUCGGUGGCGAAGGCGGCUUACUGGGCUUUUACUGACGCUGAGGCUCGAAAGCAUGGGGAGCAAACAGGAUUAGAUACCCCUGUAGUC
rnacentral:rRNA from 1 species